UACGGAGGGUGCAAGCGUUAUCCGGAAUCACUGGGUGUAAAGGGCGCGUAGGCGGCUAUGUAAGUCAGUUGUGAGAUACCUCGGCUUAACCGAAGGAAGUGCGAUUGAUACUGCGUAGCUUGAAUCAGGUUGAGGUAGGCGGAAUGUGACAUGUAGCGGUGAAAUGCUUAGAUAUGUCAUAGAACACCGAUUGCGAAGGCAGCUUACUGGGCUUUGAUUGACGCUGAGGCACGAAAGCGUGGGGAGCAAACAGG
rnacentral:rRNA from 1 species